AAGUCAUGAUGUGGACAAGUACUUAGCAAAUCCUUGAAUCUCUCCCAGAAAACCCAAAAAGUCUCUUCACCCUUCUACAUAAACUGAAUAAUCCGUUCUUGCAAAAAU